rnacentral:rRNA from 1 species
CUACGGGGCGCACCAGCAAGGAAUAUUGUCCAAUGGGGGAAACCCUGAGACAGCAACGCCGCGUGAAGGAAGAAGGCCUUCGGGUUGUAAACUUCUGUGACAGAGGAAGAAAAAAAUGACGGUACUCUGAGAGGAAGCCCCGGCAAACUACGUGCCAGCAGCCGCGGUAACACGUAGGGGGCGAGCGUUGUCCGGAAUCACUGGGCGUAAAGGGCGCGUAGGCGGCCUAUCAAGUCAAAUGUGAAAUCCCAGGGCUCAACCCUGGACCUGCAUUUGAAACUGGUAGGCUUGAGUGCAGCAGAGGCAAGUGGAAUUCCUAGUGUAGCGGUGGCAUGCGUAGAGAUUAGGAGGAACACCAGUGGCGAAGGCGGCUUGCUGGGCUGUAACUGACGCUGAGGCGCGAAAGCGUGGGGAGCAAACAGGAUUAGAUACCCGGGUAGUC